rnacentral:rRNA from 1 species
GAUGAACGCUGGCGGCGUGCUUAACACAUGCAAGUCGAACGGAAAGGCCCAAGCUUGCUUGGGUACUCGAGUGGCGAACGGGUGAGUAACACGUGGGUGAUCUGCCCUGCACUUCGGGAUAAGCCUGGGAAACUGGGUCUAAUACCGGAUAGGACCACAUUUUGGAUGGUGUGGUGGAAAGUUUUUCGGUGUGGGAUGAGCUCGCGGCCUAUCAGCUUGUUGGUGGGGUAAUGGCCUACCAAGGCGUCGACGGGUAGCCGGCCUGAGAGGGUGUACGGCCACAUUGGGACUGAGAUACGGCCCAGACUCCUACGGGAGGCAGCAGUGGGGAAUAUUGCACAAUGGGCGCAAGCCUGAUGCAGCGACGCCGCGUGGGGGAUGACGGCCCUCGGGUUGUAAACUCCUUUCGCUAGGGACGAAGCGAAAGUGACGGUACCUGGAGAAGAAGCACCGGCUAACUACGUG